UACGUAGGGUGCAAGCGUUUGUCCGGAAUUAUUGGGCGUAAAGAGCUUGUAGCGGUUUGUCGCGUCUGCUGUGAAAUUUCGGGGCUCAACCCCGAACUUGCAGUGGGUACGGGCAGACUAGAGUGUGGUAGGGGAGACUGGAAUUCCUGGUGUAGCGGUGAAAUGCGCAGAUAUCAGGAGGAACACCGAUGGCGAAGGCAGGUCUCUGGGCCAUAACUGACGCUGAGAAGCGAAAGCAUGGGGAGCGAACAGG
rnacentral:rRNA from 1 species